rnacentral:lncRNA from 1 species
CUAGAUUCCAGAGGCUUCUUUUCUGUGGGCGUGGCCAAGGCAGCGGGGGUUUAUGACAAAGUUGAGCGACCUCAUGUCACUCAAACCAGCUGUAUUAAGGAAGGUGCAAGCUUUUGGGAUUUCUGUUUGGAUUUAGUUUAGGUUCAAAAGAGCACGCACAGAUCCUGAGUGUUGUCAAGCACCCGUGACUGGGAAACGGAGGCGUCCGAUCCGUAUUGGAGUCAAUUCGCCACUUAAUUGAAAAACCCUUUGAAAAGAUUCAGCACGUUGCCAUGGAGAACAUCCCACUGAAGGAAUGUAUAGAAGUAGCAGGUGUCAGCUGCCUACCAGUUGCUUUCAUCUCUAGAAAUCUGUGACUUGCAGUAUGACAAGAACAAAAGGUGACAAUACAAAGGACAAAGGGCAAGGAAUACAGACGGAGAAGCCGCUUAGAGUCUAGGAUGGCAGAGGUUCUCUUGAUCAUUUCAUUUUUGAGCGCUUGUAGAGCUUUGGUGUACCAGAGGUGCUUGAACAGCUUACCACACCACAGAUGAAUGGCCUUUGGAUUUCUCCUAAGAAAAUGUGGCUACCUGAAAUUCAACUCCAUUUUCUGGUCUUCAAUAUUUCUUUUGUGUUCAGUUUGCCAGCUGAGGAGAAGUGGCUAAGCAUAGCCUGUUACUGAUGCUAAAGCCCAAGUUCUGAACCUAACAACUCCAGCAACAUGAUCCUGUUUCAAGAGACAAAAAAGUGACUAAUGAAAGAAAACAAUUGAUGUGCUAUGUAGAGUUUAAAAGAAGGUAAAGAGAAUAAAUUAAAAGCAACAACUCUCUUCUUGACAA